rnacentral:misc_RNA from 1 species
CAGCGAGCGGAUGCUGCGCCCCGGCGGCACGGUCUCCGGUCCGACGCUGAUGGCGCUGGCUGACUUUGCAAUGUACGUGGUGCUGCUGUCCGCCAUCGGUCCCGUUGGCCUCGCCGUUACGACCAGCCUCAACAUCAAUUUCUUGCGGAAAGGUCAGCCCGGCCAGGAUGUGCUCGCUGCCGCGAAGCUGAUGAAGCUCGGAAAGCGUCUCGCCGU